AAAACUGAAACAAAUAUGAAAUUGAAAUCAAUUUGAAUAUUUUGAUAUGAUAUCUACAAACGAGUCUUUGAAGCUAACAAAUAUUACAUUUUAAUUAAAAGUAAAUAUAAACUAUCAAUGUUAAGCCCUAAGACUACCUACUUGGUCAUGAAAUAAUUUGUUCCUGUCAUACCCUCACAACACUCAUCCAUCGGUCGCAAAUCCAUGCCUCGAAGCUAUAUCAACGAAUCAAACAAAAUCUCAAUUACUUAACAAAGCAAGCUGCACAAGCACAGCAGCCUCUUGGGGCAUGGCAAACAAAAAAUGCCAGCAGACCUGUUAAAAGACUACCCAAAGCCUCUCUGGAGAUGCUUCCAUGCAAGGGUUUAUCAGCCAUUUGUGGACGUCACAAUCUUGAAAACCAAUGAAGCAGAGCAAUCUUCAUAGAAUCAGAAGACAUCAAAGAAGAAAUUCUUUAUUUCUCAGCUUCAAAUGAAUCAUCCCAGUGCAUCUUUUUGAACUUCUACCAUGAAUUUCAAAAAUAUUAGUUGAUUUACAAAUAAACUCUAGCCUCUGCAGUUCUUUGUUUCACCAAUUAAAUGGUCUCUGCAAAUCAAAUCAACACUCAAUUUCGUCCCUCAUCUUACAAUCCACUUCAUGCCUUAAAAAAAUGUGGAUGCAACUCAACUGAAUCAAUAAGGGCUCCAUCAAUUGAUGACUUCAAGAUGGGGGUUAAGCCAUCACAUCCACAUCAUUCAUCAACAUUGCAGGAAGAGGUUUGCAUUUGAACAGACGACGUUACCAUCACAUCUUCUGAUUCAAUUGUAUUCUCUACAGACAUGUGAUUUCCAUUACAUGAUAUGACUUCUGGAUUCAAAUUCUUGUUAGAAAUUUGAGCUGCACCAGUAUUUUCCUUCACAUAAUCAACUGCCCGCUCAUUGCCCACUUCAAACCCAGAUCCAGGCACAAAACUCUGAUCUGAAUCUGUAGUACCUGGCUGCUGCUUCCUAAGUUCAAAGUCAUUUACAAGAAGUGAGCCUUGAUGAUCCUCAUUUGCAAGCGAUUCUUGCAAUGAAUUUCUCAUAAUUAGAUGUGGGUCAUUAGUUGCUUCCUCAGAAAGCUCAUUCUGAACAUCGUUUUGCACCAUCUCACCUAGAUGUGGGACAUCAUUUUUUGCUUCCUCCGAAAGUUCAUUCUGAACAUCAUUUUGCACCUCAUCCAUUUGAGAGACAUGUCUUCUUGUGGUUAGUACUAGUGGGCAGACAGGAGGGGUACUCUUGCGGCACACAUGGCACCUAAAUCCAAUAAGCUUAUGGCUGUUCUCCACAUCAAGUCCAAAAGCAUCUCCGUGAAACCACUCACCACACCUCUCGCAAGAAAUAUAAUUCAAGGUAGAUGUAUUUCCAUCUUCACAACAAAGAUGGCAUUUGGGUUGAUCAAGGAUGUCACUUUUGGAAGAAGCAAGAAAACUUCUAAAAUGCAUCACACGUUCAUCAUCUGGCUUUCUAGACAAUAGGAGACCAUUAAUCCAGUAACUAUGAUAAGUCUGUGUCCUCUCCUUGCGCCAUGAAGUAACCUUAGUUUGUUUCUUAUAUGUUGCUUUUCUGGAUUUGACCUGCUUAUCUUUCUUGCAUUCCCCAACUUUUUUAUUUUGCAUAGAGUUGUAUUUAGCUUUCCUAGGUGAGCGACGCAGUGGUACAACAGCAGCAACUUUCUUAUUUUUUCUUGGUCGUAGAGACCAUGAACUCCUCAAUGCUUUUUUACUGUUUUUAAAUCGCACUGACCUGCAACCUACAGAGGCCUUUUUUGAUUUUUGAUGCUGAACUUGCAAGUUUUUCUUGUUAUUUUUCCCUCUUUUUACACCACUCUUCCCCGUUUUUGAGUCAAUUUUCACAUAUUUCCCAUCAAGGCAACGGUGGCACGUGUACAUACAUUCAGCAGUGAUGGAACCAGCUGACUUCCUCACAUGCCUUUUAUGGAAAAAUCCCUUGCAAUACUGACAGCACACAGCCUCCCUGAUUGGAACAUCUUUGUUACAGUGCCCACACUGAUGGUACUCAGAUCUUUCAGCUUUUGCAAAAAGAUAUGAGAAACCUCUUUUCUUUGGGGGCUUCUUCACUACUACAGCAGCAUCAGAAAGUUUCCCAGAACUCAUCUUACUAGAUCUGCGAGCAAUUCUUUUCUGUUCAAAACUUUUCAAGAGAUACAAGGGAAUAAAUGAUUCAUUCAACCAAUAUUUCUUCCUCUCACUGGAGGAUUCUUCAACCACAGAUCCAUUCUUUAAAACAAUUUCAGGAAUAAUUCUUCUCUUGCCAAAAUCAAGAAGAUACUUUGCCCCUUCUCCCUCUAUGCACUUCCUACGGACAAUUACUUUCUUGAAUAGCCUCAAUGAUUUUUUAAAUUCCUUGUCCACCAUUGCCAGCAGAUUUGUGUUCCCAAUUUCGUCCCACCUGAUAUUAGAAUCAAGCUCUCUAACCUGCAAAGCAAGCUGUUCUACAGUUGUUGAUGACUCCACAGCAGCUCGCCAACAGACAUAUUUGCUCCUCUUUGCAAAAUCUGAAUUCUCAGGAUACAACAUGCCUGGUAUCUUCAUACACCCAGCUGCAGAAUUUCAAACUUGUCUGGCAGCUUUGGAUACUAACGAGCGAGGUAAAACCUUCCAACUGAAUAACCGGCGAGAAAGCCUACCACCCCUCCACCAUAACAUGCCUAAUCCACUGGCAGAAUUUGAAGAAGGAUUGGAAUCAAAUUCUGAGUACCUGGCUCUCUUCCUACCAAUUCCAUUCUUUGAAGAAGCGCGCAAUGAAGCUUUGACAAUAUGAGAAGCUGAACCCAUAGUGGUGGCAGAAUCCACAUGUUUCAACCACUCCGCUGAAAGUGCAAGACGGCGCAGAUUUGACUCUAAUAUAAGCAGUAAAUGUUUCGUGGACGCAAGAUCUGAUGCCUUAAGAACACUUCUGCGCCAG
rnacentral:misc_RNA from 1 species